UUCGAAAAAAAGUCGCGAGACGUGCAUGGAGCUCAGCAUAGAGCCAUCGGAGCCACCGGCCCGAACGCCUGUCCAUAUAUCCACAACCGAGAUGGAAGACCUAACUGAAGACUGCGGUGUCAUGAAAAAGCCUGAAAGAACUAGGAGUACUGGGGCUGCAGAUCGC
rnacentral:misc_RNA from 1 species